rnacentral:rRNA from 1 species
AUUGAACGCUGGCGGCAGGCCUAACACAUGCAAGUCGAACGAGUGGCGGACGGGUGAGUAAUGUCUGGGAAACUGCCCGAUGGAGGGGGAUAACUACUGGAAACGGUAGCUAAUACCGCAUACCAUCGGAUGUGCCCAGAUGGGAGUAGCUAGUAGGUGGGGUAACGGCUCACCUAGGCGACGAUCCCUAGCUGGUCUGAGAGGAUGACCAGCCAAACGGGAACUGGGACACGGUCCAGACUCCUACGGGAGGCAGAAGGGGGGAAUAUUGCACAAGGGGCGAAAGCCUGAGGCAGCAAUGCCGGGUGUAUGAAGAAGGCCUUCGGGUUGUAAAGUACUUUCAGCGAGGAGGCGUUACGCGCAGAAGAAGCACCGGCUAACUCCGUGCCAGCCGCCGCGGUAAUA